AGCAAGUAUGAUAGAAGACAGCAACAAAGUAACUACUCCUGUUGGCACUCUUUUCUCCCUCCCAUAUUCCUGCUGUGGGGUGAAGACAGUCUGAUAUUUACCAUGAGUAAAAUCUCUGAAACUCUCUUCCAUAGCAAAAUCAAAUAGCCAUCCAGAAAAGUCAAGGCUUUUAAGUGUGGUGUUGGUGACCCUCCUCAUUCCGUUAUUUGGGGACCCAAUGUCUACCUGCCCUAUGCCACUCUCACACUUCCCACCCUUCUGGUUGGAAAUUCUGCUCAAGGAGAAACAAGGUGAGACAUAGUGAGCAAAUUAGCUCUUUAUAGAUGCAUGAAAUACCCAUGUGGUUACCUAGUCCUAUUUCUGUAAAAACCAUCAAAGAUUAUAAGAUACAUAUAAAAAUUUAAGAACACAAAAUGAGCACGACAAACCAACCAAAAAAGACUUUUAAAAGUUUUAGUGGAGUAAAAGAGUAGAAAAUAUUUUAAUAUCAGUAAACACCAAAAUAUAAUACCUUUAAUUAAUAUUCACACAGAUAUUUGAGAAAAUAUUGUGUUCCACAAAAUAUUAUGAUAGGAUGCUAUGAAAAGAAACUACUGUAAUGUAAGAAUGGGAUAUUAGACAUUAAAAAUAGAAUUGCUAAAAUUUUAAAAAGAAAGCUGCUUGAAAAAUACAGGAAAUCUUCCAGAAUGUAGAGAAAUAAAGUAGAACCAAAAACAUAAAGGAAAGGAUGGAGCCUAAUAAACAAAUGCAGAGGUCUAAUAACUGACAACUAGACAUACAGAAUAAAGAAAAUGGAAGGGCGAACAUUAUCCAAGAAAUAAUAGGAGACACUUUCUUUGAGUUACGGAACAUAAAUCUUUAGGUCAUGUAUUACUGAGUGCCUUGUACAAAGAAUGGAAAUGAAAACAAAACCCACAUCUGGAUACAUUCUUGAAAAGUUUUAAAACAUCAAGAAAAUCUUAAAGAUUCCAAACUUUUCAAAGAAGAAAAAUACAGUUUCCUACAAAGAAAUAAAAAUCAAACUUGCAUUAGAUUCUUGACAGCAACAAUGAAUGCUAGAAGAGAACAGAGAAAUGCCUGCAGCAUACAGGGAAAGUAAUUUUCAACCUUGAAUUCUGUAAUCACAAAAAUAGUUACCAAGUAAGGGGGAAGAAUUGAAGUAUUUUUAGAUGUUUUAAGAGCUCAGAAAUUUUAUCACCAUUUUCUUUUUUAAAAAAAUGUGUAUUAAAAUAUUUAAUCUUUACUUCUAUCAUGGUGAAUUUUUCUGAAACACAUUCUUCCCUUAGAGUAACCUGGGACCCAUAUUCUCCAAAGCCAUUGGAAGCGAAAGAAAGGUUGGGCGGGGGAAGAAGAAAAGUGCUUUGCAAGUUCGUUUUGGCAGUCAGGAGAGCUUCUGGUUUAGGCUCUCCACAGAGGCAGGAAAACUACAGUCACUGGGCGAAUGCCCCACUCUGCGCAUGCUGCACAGUACCUGUUGCUGCGCAUGUCUGUUGCUAUGCGCGUCUGUUGCUGCGCAUGCGCCUUGAAGCCCACCUUCUGUCCUCGCAGAGCUCUGCAAGAAAAGGUCUCGUGUGCGUUCAUUCCGCCGUCUUCAUUUUUUCUCACUAAGACUCAACCGCAUUACCUCAUGUUUCAAAUGGAUGUUGGAGUUCCUCCCAUGACGUCUGCAUUCCGGUUAGAAGUACGUGUAUGCUUGUCUAUGGAGUGCUUACAGGUAUUUUCACCCAUCAGAGAAGUGUUCCCUGAAAUAACACCCAACAAUGCCUCCUUAAAUUAUUGAACAUACCUAGCUGCAAGGUUGGAUCUUUAUUUGGGCACUUUGCAGCUUGAGAAUAAAAAAGAAACAGAAUUCUGUAUCUUAGUAAGAAAAGGAGAAAUUUUUAAGGAGGAGAUAACUAGGUCCCACAUCAUGAAAGAAGCAGCCACACCUCCCAGAUCUCUUUACAUUUUGGUAAAGUUAUAUGAGGGUAUGCUGUAGCAAAAUGAGGGAGAAGAUCAAGAAAUACAAAGACACAGGGACAAAGAAGCAGAGCAAUACAAGGGAAUUUCAGGAUGACAGUGGUCCACCAGGCUUAAAGAUGGUUGUUUCAGAGUUCCAUAGGAGAACGGUGGGCUCUGGGAGGGAGGCCAGCGAAGAGAAACGAAGAUUUCAUGCAGGGGACUCUGAUUGAGUGGAUGGCAUAAACUGGAGGGAUGAUAAAGUGUGUGAUUCAAAAGAAAAGGAAUGGCAAUAUGACAUUUUAGGAAAAAAAUAAUUUGCAUAUAAACAAUUGAUUUGAAGCAAAUGUUGGAAUAUAAGAAAAUGUGUCUUUGCCUUGAUGCUGCUAACAUUCUCUUCCGUGCGGCUCAGUAGUUUUGGUAUUAUUCACAUAACCCUAGCCUGCAUUCGUAAUGGACAAAUUGUGUAAGACUUAGGUGGUGAUGCAGAAUUAAAUAUAUUAACCAUAAAAACCCCGGUAUGAAUGUAAAAGAAUAGCACAUAGACAGUGGGUAGUGGAUUGUGGAAGCAAAUAUAAGCACAUUAAUAAUUGAAACAUUAAAUAUCUAACAACAAUUUGAAGAAUUGCAAAAAAUGCUUCUAUUAAGCAUUGAGAAGAAAGUGGAGUGGGUUAAAAGUUUACUUAGCAAAACUUUUAAAAAUUUUAGGCAAUCAAUCACCUGUCUGGAGUGUAUAAAUGAAGUGACAGAGAUAUAAGUGUAUUAUCUAGUAUUUUGGAGGUAACAGAAACAUAUUAAAGAGGUUUUUCCACAGUGCCUAGAGCAUAAUCAUUCAGUAUGUUAGCAGCUUUAACCAUUAUAGUGAUUUUUAAUUUGAACUGAUAUUUUAACAAGCAAUUCUACUUUACUUGUUAUUCUUUAUUUUAGAUAUUAAAAAUAUUAAAAAUUAACAUCUAUAUUACCACUAAAAAAAAAAAAGAUUUCUCCUGGAGAAUGGAACUACAGGUUUAAACAGGUAUGGGGCUAGGAGCUAUGGAAAUUAUGAUAGGCUAACAUUAUUUGAUUUAUUCACAUGUGAGAGUUAUUUUAAUGAUAAACAUUAUAAAAAUUAAAACAAGAAGAUUUGGAAUUUUGCUUGGGAACCUUAGAAAGCACAAAACUCAGCAGGGAACCAGGGCUUGUUUUGAGUGUAAUAUGGGCUUCUCUCUGAUGUGGUGGCGUCAGACGGGAGACUGAGCACAGACACAGCUGGACUCUGCACCAGAAAUUGGUACAGAAAAUUGACCUCUGGUGAAGUACCUUUACUAAACACAAAAGAAAGAGAACAUAGAAAACAUCUCUCAACUAAGACUACACUCAACUUGGCUUCCCUUCUGUCAGGUUGUUGCAUAAUUUAAUUAUUGAUGUGAAUUUAGACUCACCAGCUCUUUUAGCAUGUUUGAAAAUUCUAACAAUAACACAAUAUACAGUGAGGGGAAGACAAAGGCAGUCUUUAUUUAAGGAUGUGUACAUUCUAAGUAAACAUCUCAUUGACACUAUGAAAAAAUCCACGGUAAGAAAAUAGAUGAUAGCAGUUAAUAUAAAGAAACUGGUCACAAUUUUAGAAUAAUUAUGACAGUAAACAUAACAUUUUAUAAGUAACUACUGUAUAAGUAUACAAUUGUGACUGAAAACAAAUGGAAUUGUAUAAAUUACUAAUAUUAGGAAAAUACUAGAAAUAAUAAUACAUGAUAUAACACUCAGGAUAGGUAUGAUAUUGCUACAGUAACGUAAAGUCCAAAAUAUCAGUGGCUUCAAGCAGGACAAUUUUAUUUCUUACUUAUCCUACAUAUUUAAUGUGGGUUGCCAGUGGGCUCUGUUCCAAGUUGAUUUUACUCUAGGACCCAGGAUGAUGAAGAAGCCAUGAUAGGGAGUGUUGCUAAUCUCUGAGGCACAAAGAUUAUGAACAAGAGUAUGACAACUAUCUCAUAACUCCUAAAGUCUCUGCACAUAAGGUCUACAUUUAUCUUCCACUCACAUUACAUGAGUCAAACCAGGUCAUGUGGCCAUGACUGAUUUCAAUGGAAACAGUACCUUCUCUGCAACUUAAACAAACAAAAAAACUAAAAACAUGAACAGCCUCAAUGACUACUACAUUAGGAAACUAAAAAGCAAUUUCAGAAUGAAAAUUAUUAGCAGUAAAAAAUUCAGAGGUGAAUUGAUAAUCAAAUACUUUGAAAGACAAAUGGUAAUUACUCUGAAAGUACAGCAGAAAUAUUCAAAGACAUAAAGACAAUAUGAAUGAAUAUGGUAGAAAUUGAAUACCAGAGAUAAGAGAGCCAAUGAAGUGCAAUAUUUCUUAUUAAAGAAAAGAGGGAAAGCAUGAAGAAGCUCCCCUGGCCUGUGAAAGAACCAAGUAUACAGAUCAAAGUUUUCACUGAGUAACAGGAAAAGUUAAUGAAAAGGUAAAAAUAGCUGGUUCAGUUUUUAAACGUCAAGAAUAAUAAAGGAAUCUUGGGCAUCCAGAAAGAGAAUGUUAAAUCACUCUUUUUAUGUUUUUUUCAAACUGACAUGCAACAGACCUACAGAAAAGUCUAUAAAUUGCAAUUGUGCAGCUCAGUGAAUUAUCCUAUGAGAAAACAAUUGUGUGACCAUUACUUAGGCAAAUAAAUAGAACACUCUCAGUAUCCUAAAGACAUCCUCAUUCACUGUGUAAUUAUUACACGCUCUGCUCUCUCCUCUUCAAAGGUAACUGCUAUCCUAACGUCUAAAUCUAUUUCUAGUUUUGCCUAGUUUUAACCUUGAUCUAAAUGGAACCACACGGUGAAGUCUCUGAAAUACUACUUUCUUCACUUUCAGCUAUGUUCUUGAGAUUCCAACAUAUUGUUCUAUUGUACUUGUAGCGCAUUCAGAUUUAUUGUUGCAUGCGAUUCAAUUUUGUGAAUAUACCAAACUAUUUAUUUAUUCUGGUAUUGAUAGACUUGCUAGAUACUGUUUCCAGUGGUUGCUGUUACAAAUAAUUCUGUAAAUAUUCUUGAACAUGUCUUUUGCAGCGCACACACCCAUUUCCAUUAGGUGUCAAACUGUGAAACGUACCCCAUUGAUACCUCUAUUGGAGGUUGUGCCUGGUUGUCAUAGAAAAUUGCAGCACUCCUCCCUCCCCUUAGAACUUCUAUUCUUCUUCCUCUGCUUUAUUUUAUCCACAGCACUCAGUCCUCAUCUAAUAAACUAUAUUUUAUUCAUUUAUCUUGUUUAUGGCCUAUUCUUUGCUUACUACAAUGUAAGUGGCAUUGGAGCUGAGAUUUGGGUUUAUUUUGUUAAUGACUGUUUUCCCAACACUUAGAAGAAAUACUCAAUAAAUUUGUUGAAUGAGUUAAUUAUUUUAUAUAAUUAUCAGUGUGAGUCAGGUUCUAUAUUUCAUCAGAUAUUUAUUGCACAUUUCUUUUUGUUUUUCUCUAUGCUGCCUGUUUAUAGCUCUUGCAAAUUUUUCUUCAAGAUUUUAUAUAUGAAUUUUGAAAAUUUGUUUUGUAUCUGUUGCAAAAUUCUUUUUCAGUUUCUGUGGGCCUUUUGACUUAGUUUAUGGUAAGUUUUUGUCUGUUUUAAUAUGGUCAGUGUUAUCUAUUCUUAAAGGUGUUUAGAUUUUAUGUCUAAUUUAGACAGGUCUUUCUCAUUUCAGUAUUACAAAUAAAUACACAGUGCUUUCUUUCUAGAAAUUUUAUGCUUGCUUUAAAUCUUUGUUCCAUCAAAAAUUUAUUUUGUUUUAAAGAGUGGUGACACAUCUUUACUUUUAUUUAACAUAAUUCAUAGAAUUAUCCCUAUCUUCCCUACUAAUUUAGAAUGCCAUCAUUACCACAAACAAAAGCCAGUUGUGUGCGUCUUGUUUUUUUUCUUCUACCCUGUUUUAUUGUUUGGUCUAACAUUUCUAGUACCAUUAUAAAUAUGUAUUCAUUUCUAGUGCUAAAGUUUUAAAAGUUAUUUUAUUUGCUAAUAUAUUUUAAAAUUUUAUGACUCUCUGCCCACAUUAUUAGAUUUUUCUAAUUUUCUCCAUUAUUAGAACAUGUCCUAGCUUCUUUACAUAUUUAUUUUCAAGGUGAAUUUAAUAUAAUUUGUUUAUUUCCUAAGUUUCCUAUAGGUACAGAAAUCAAAUGUAAAUUUAGAAACUACAAAGACAAAAGCAUGUAAAUGACAACAAAAUCCUCUUGGUUUGUUAAUUAGGAUUGUAUUGAAUGCAUAGAUUAGUUUAGUGAACACUGACAUAGUUAUGCAGUUACAUCUUCCUAUUCAAAGGCAUAGGAUGCUUUUCAGUUAUUUGAUCCUUUUAUAUUUUAUAGCUUUCUAAAUUAUGUUUGAUGCAAUUCUUGUAAAAUUUAUAUCUAACCAUUUUAUCAUUUCCAUUGUUUUUUAAACAAUGUACAUUUUCUAUUAUUGUUUUCUGAUUAUUUGAACAUAGCAAAUAUAAACUUUAUAUAUUAUUCAAUUUCCCUACCUUAUUAAAUUCGAAUAUUUUUCUAACAGGUUUAUAAUCAAUUCACGUAAUCACCUGCAUAAUUGCAAGAUAGAAAAAUUAUAGAAUUGACUUAUAAAUCCAAGAUUUAAGGAUAUUGAAAAAUCCAGCUGAUUUUGAUAUAUUUAUUAAAUAUGUAUAUAUUAGAAAGGCUGUCAAAAGAAACAUAUAAAAAGAAUAUAUAUACAAUACACAUUUAACAAAAGGAUUUAAAAUAUUAUUAAAAUGCUAAGUACAAUACUUUAAUUUUUGACAGUUGCCAGUGCAUAGCAAUAAGAGAAAUAUAGUAAUUUCAAUAAAUUGUACUGAAAUAAUUGAGUAUUACUAUGGAAAAGAAUGGGCCUUCACCCCUACCUCAGGCCAUACACUAAAACUGACUCACAGUGGAUCACAGGACUAAAUGCAAAAGCUGAAUAUACAGAACAGAUUGUUGUGGGGGGGUGGGGAGAAGAAAAAAUCAUCAUCAUGAUGGUAGCCUAGGCAAUAUACUCACUAAUAAUAAUAGAAAAAGAUGAAAAAUUGAAUUGCACCAAAUAUUUAAAGUUUUGCUCAUAAAAAGAUACUCCGUUAAGAAAAAGAGAGGCCCAAGACUUUGAGACACUAUUCAAGAUACAUAUAUCUAAAAAAAAAACUCUUGUUAUACACACAUAUUCUUACCAUUAUAUCAGACAACAGAAAGCAAUGAAAAUGGGCAUAAAUGUUGAACACAUACUUCACAGAAAAAUAUAUGAAUAAUCAGUUAUUAUGGGAAAAGAUGCUCUACAUAUUAGUCAUCAAUAAAAUGCAAAUUAAAACCACAAUUGAGACAGUACUCCAUACUGACUAAAUGGCUAAAAUUUGAAAGUUCAACAAUAUUGAGUAUUGAAAAUGAUAUGGAGUCAGUCAGUGAAAUUUCAAGUAGUGUUAGUGAGCAUAUAACCUGGAGCAAACAUUUUGGAAAACUAUUUGGCAAUUUCUCAUAAAGCUGAAUAUAGAUUUACCAUCCACCUCAGCAAUUCCACCACUAAGUGAAGUAAAAACCUAUCUUCACAUGGUACUUGUUAAUGCAUGUUCACCACAGCUUUACUCAUAAUACCCUUUACCUUGUAUAGGAGGCAGAAAAAUGGCCCCACAAAGAUUUCAACACCUUUUCCUGGAAAGGCCUAAUCCCUAGAACCUAUGAAUAUAUUACCUGUCAUUGCAAAAGGAACUUUGCAGGUAUGAUUACAUUAAAGAUCUUGGGUAGAGAGAUUAUCCUAUAUGAUCUGAAUCUGGGUAAGCCCAGUGUAAUCACAAGGCUCCUUACAAAUUAAAAAAGAGACUGUCAAGUCAGAGAUAGGCUGUGAGAAAGAUGUGUUGGCUUUGAAGAUGAAAGGAGCCCAGGGACCAAGCAAUGUAGGAAGCUCUAGAAGCUGGAAAAAAAAAGAAAACACUGCCUCCAAACCUCCAGAAGAAAUGGAUUCCUGCCACAUUUUUAUUUUAGUCCCAUGAAACUUAUUUUGGACUUUAUCUUCAGAGCUAUAAGGUGAUAAAUUUGUGUCAUUGUAUGCCAUUGAGUGUGUGUUUAUUUGUUACAAUAGCAAUAGAAAACUCAAGCACCUGAUGAUAACCUAAAUAUUUAUCGUCUUGUGAAUGGAUAAGCAAUUGUUUCUAAAGAAUUUUUUUUAUUCUUUGAAAAGAAUAAAAUGUUUCAUUGGAAAGAUAUUAUGCAGCAGUAAAAAGGAAUCAACUACUGAUACAUACUACCACAUGGAUGAAUCCCUGCAACAUCAUGUUCUGCUGAAUAUGUGCCAUAUGUUUCAGUUUAGAUGAGAUCCUCAUCUAAAUUGACAAAGUACCUCAGUGAUUACCUUGGGCAGAGAUAAUUGGCUCACAUUAUUUUGGAGUCUGAGCAGUUCUACGAUCACAUGGAAAGCUGGAGACACAGGAGAGAUGAUGGUAUAGUUCUAAUCUAAAUCUGAAGGCCUAAGAAACAGGAGACCCAGUGGUGUAAGUUCUAGUCAAAAAGCCAACAAGCUCAAACCCACAAAGAGCAGAUGUUUCCAUUUGAGUCUAAAGGCAGGAAAAAGCCAAUGUCCCAGCUCAAAGCACUCAGGGUUGGGAUCAACAGAAACAGCCUCCUCUUUCUCUAUUCAGUGCUGCCAUUUCUUAGAACCUUGGCUGCAAGGGAAUUCUUGUGUUACUACUAUAGGGUUGAACAAGAAGCAUACCAGCAUCUGCUUCUAGUGAAGGCUUCAGACUGCUUCCACUGAUUGUGAAAGGCAAAAGGAAGCAGACCUGUGCAGAAAUCAUAUGGUGAAGAGAGGAAGCAAGAGAGAGAGAGAGUGGGAUGUGCCAGGCCCUUUUUCAUAACCAGCUCUUGUCGGAAAUAAUAGAGCGAGAACUCCCCAAUCCAUUCAUGAGGGAUCUGCCCCCAUGAUGCAAACCCUCCCCUUUGCCUCUUCACCUCCAACACUGGGGAUCAAAUUGCAACAUGAAAUUUGGAGGGACAAACAUCCAAAUUGUAGCACACAUUUUCCUAGCAUGAAGUCUAUCAUCCUAAGUGUGCUUUACAAGACUUUCAUGAUAAUGGCCUCAAUUCAAGACUGUCUUGAGAUAUGAAGUCUAAUGUCAAGAGUCGGGGACUCCAGAGUCACACAUCUUGAGUUUGAAUUCUGAUUCUACUUCUAAAUCAGCAGUGUGGGAGACAGGAGCAUCACCUUUAGCCUAGAUUGCAUUAUGGAGAAAACACAUGAAGCAGACCAGCAGUUCUUUGCAGCUAACAUGUAAGGUGAAUAAGAAAUUCAUCUUUUUGUGGGGAUAUGGGAGUGAGAAAACCCUAGAUUUUGAGGGCUUAGGAUUGUUUGCUAACAUUACUAAUAUGCUGGUACUAACAGGUUCAAAAAAAUACAUUCAUUCAUUCAUUAGCUCCAGUCACAACACAGCUGUAGUUCAUUGUGGCUAUAAAAGACAUUUGUAUUGUAAUCAAGAUUUAAUGAUUUGCCCAAGGUCAAAGAGGAAGGCCAAAUUCAGAUUCACUUGUUCAUUUGGCUCCUUAUAUGGGCUUAUUGCUAUUGAGAAGUACAAGAGAAUAAAAUAGUCCCUGACUUCAGAAGAUGAAUCAUUUUGUUAGAAACAUGUUCUAUCCGUGUUUAUACACAUGUACACACACUCCAUGUGGUUUGAGUCACCUCCCUUACAAUAUUUCACAUUGCUUCUUACCCCCACCUCUGACUCUUCCCCAGCUGUGUCAUGCUGUAGGCCAUGUCGGCAUGCCUUGGAUGCCUCUCCAUCCACAUUUGAAGACCAUCAUUGUAUUUGCUCUCUUUUCCAAGAUAAACUUUACCACCUACUUUACAGUAACAUAUUCUUUAUUCUAGUGCAAAAUAAUGGAAUAUAAUUUCAUAAAUGUAAACUGGGCCUGAUAUACUAUUUUUUUUUUCAAGACACGUCCAUUUAUCUAAUGAAAGAAAAACCAAGAAAAUCAUUUUGGUUGUAAAGAAGGAAUGCCCAUUCAAAAUAUUCCAAGAAAAACAGGCUGGGUGAAUUUUUUUAAAAAGAUUUGAAAAUGAAAUGUGGACUCAUAGGAUCCAGCACAUCUUAAAACAAGUACUUUAGCUUCACAUCUUUCUAAUCCUGCAGGUUUUUGAGUCUGUUGCACUUCUUUAGUAUACAACUGAGUUUUCCCUGCCUACUCUUUCUGUUCACUCAUCAUUUACGAGGCAGUAAUAAUUUUCUGUGUUGCCAGCUCUUGUCAAAAGUUUUGCAUAAGUUGUUCAACCUAGAACCCGUUGCUUUCAGACUACUACCGUUUCUCUGGCUCUUAUUUAUGAUAAAGAAAAACUGAUUGAUUACUGACCGGAUCUCCUAGAAUCAAAUAUAUACUCCAAUCUAAUUACAGGCAUUCAUCUGAGAUACUGCAGGCUUAGUUCCAAACCCCCAAAUAAUACAAAUAUUGCAAAAAGGUAAGUCACACAAUUUUUUGGUUUCCCAGUCCAUAUAAAAGUCAUAUUUUUACUCUAUUAUAAUCCAUUAAGUGUGCACUAGCAUUAUGUCUAAAAGACAAUGUACAAACCAUAAUUUAAAAUGCUUCAUUGUUAAAAAGUGCUGGCAGUCACCUAAGCCUUCAAUGAUUUGUAAUUUUCUUCCUUGUAGAGUUGUGGUUGCUGAAGAUUGGGAUAGCUAUGACAGGUUAUUGAAAUAAGACCACAAACGAAGUUUAUCACAUCUAUUGACUCUUUCAUGAAAGAUUUCUCUGUAGCAUGCAAUUUCCUUUUAUAACAUCUUACCCAUGGUAGAUCUUUCAAAACUGCAGUCAGUCUUCUCAAACCCUGCCACUGCUUUAUCUAUUAAGGUUUUGAAAUAUUUUAAAUAAUUUGUUUUAAUUUCAAGAAAUGUUCACAUCAUCUUCACUAUGAAUAGAUUCCAUAUUGAGGAAAUCACUUUCUUUGUUCAUAUAUAAGAAGCAAUUCUUCAUCUGUUCAAGUUUUAUCAGCUGACCGUAGUGAUUCAGGCACAUCUUCAGGUUUUACAUAUAAUUCUAAUUUAAAUUCUAAUUCUUCACAUCUAAUUCUAAUUCAUUUGCUAUUUCUAUCAAAUCUGCAAAGACUUCCACUGAAGUCUUGAACUCCUCAAAUUAUUGAUGAGAGCUGGAAUAAACUUCUUCCAAACUUCUACAAAUGUUGAUAUUUUGACUUCUUCCCACAAAUCACUAAUGACAUCUAGAAUGGUAAAUUAUUUCCAGAAGAUGUUCAAUUUACUUUGCCAAUAUCCAUCAGAUAUUGGCAAAUAGCAGCAAUAGCCCUAUAGCCUUAAAAACGGUAUUUCUUAAAUAGUAAGAGUACAGAGUAAACAUUACUCCUUGAUCCAUGUGCUGUAAAAUGGAUGUUUUGUUAGUGGGCAUGAAAACAACAUUAAUUUCUUUGUGCAUGUCAGUCAGAGCUCUUGGGUGAUUAGGUUUAUUGACAAAAAGCAGUAAAAUUUUUAAAAGGAUAUUUUUGUCUGAAGAGUAGGUCUCAAUAUAGGGCAUAAAAUAUUUAGUACACCAUGCUGUAAAUAGAAGUGUUGCAAUCCAGGCUUUGUUAUUUCAUUUUUUACAGCACAGUAGAUUUAGUAUAAUUCUUAAGGGCCCUAAGAGUUUCGAAAUGAUAAAUGAACAUUGGAUUCAACGUCAGGUUGCCAGGUGCAUUAGCCCCAAACAAGAGACUCAGAUUACCCUUGAGGCUUUAAAAGCCUGACGUUGCCUUCUGCUCUCUAGCUAUGAAAGUGUUAGAUGGUAUCUUCUUCCAACAGAAGGCUGUUUUGUCUGCAUUGAAAAUCUGUUGUUCGGCAUAGGCACUUUGAUCGAUGAUCUUAGCUAGGUCUUCUGGAUCACUUGCUGCAGGUUCUGCAUCAGCACUUGCUGUUUCAUCUUAGACUUUUAUGUUAUGGAGACAGCUUCUUAAACCUCAUGAGCCAACCUCUGCUAGCUUCCAGCUUUUCUUCUGCAGCUUCCUCACUUCCAUCAGCCUUCUUAGAAUUAAAGACAGGUUAGGGUCUUUCUCUGGAUUUGAGUUUGGCUUAAGAGACUAUUAUGGCUGGUUUGAUCUUUUAUUCAGACCACUAAAAUGUUUUCUAUAUCAGUAAUACAGUUGUUUCACUUUAUUAUCAUUGGUGUGUUCACUGGAGUAGCACUUUUAAUUUCCUUCAAGAACUUUUCCUUUGCAUUCACAACUUGGCUAACUGCUUGAUGCAGAAGGACUAGCAUUCUGCCUGUCUCAGCUUUCAGUAUCCCUUCCUUGCUAAGCCUAGUCAUUUCUAGAUUUUUAUUUAAAAUGAGAGAGAGAUGCAACUUUUCCUUACAUUUGAGCACUUGAAACAAGCUUGUUCAACCCUCAGCCUGCAGCCCAGGAUAGCUUUGAAUGUGGCUAAACACAAAUUCAUAAACCUUCUUAAAACAUGAGUUUUUUUGGUGAUUUUUUUUAGCUCAUUAGCUAUCAUUAGUAAUAGUAUAUUUUGUGUGUGGCCCAGGACAAUUCUUCUUACAAUGUGGCUAAGGAAGCCAAAAGACUGGACACCUGUGACUUACAGGCUGUUACAUGGUUAUUAAUUGGCCUAAUUUCAGUUUUUUCUCAGGAAAUAGAGAAGCCCAAGGAGAAGGAGAGAGAUGAGACAGCAGUUGGAAUGCACACACCAUGUAUUAAAUCCACUGUCUUACACAAAUGUGGUUCAUGGUAGGCACUCCAAAGUAAUUACAAUAGUAACAUCAAAGAUCAGUGAUCACAGAUGACCAUAACAGGUAUCAUAAUAAUUUAAAAGUUUGAAAUAUUGUGAUAAUUUCCAAAAUGUGACACAAACACAAGAAGUGAGCACAUGCUGUUGGAAAACGAUGCCAAUAAUUUGCUGGAUGCAGGAUUGCCACAAACCUUCAAUUUGUUAAAAAAAACCGUGAUAUCUGCAAAGUGCAAUAAAAACAAGUAUAAUAAAACCAGUUUUGCCUGUAUCUAUAACCAUUCAUGUGAGGUCAGCUAGUAUGUCAAAUGUCUCUUUUAAGAGUUUGAAGAAAGCAAGUUACGUUAAAUGGAAUUGGGAUAUAGCAGGCAUAUUACACUGACACGUCCAAGUCCAACACAAAGACAUAGUCUGUAAAGGCAAUACACACAUACACAUGCACACAUGCCAGGAAACUAUAUAUAUGUGGGUGUAUUGGUGUAUAUAGUGUCAAAUUUUGUAGCACUUUGGAUUUCAGAUUUUUGGAUUAGAAAUGCCCCCAAUCCAGAAUCUAGAACAGAACACCAACAUGCAGUUGGAAAAUAUCCUAUCUGACUUUAUGCAAUGGGCCAUAAUCUUAAAAUAUAAUAAAUUAUAAAUAAAUUUUGUGUCUAGAUUUAGGUCUCAUUGCCAAGAUAUCUCAUUAGAUAUUUGUAAGUAUUACAAAAUAUAAAAACAAUUUAUAUAUUAGGGCUUCGUAAAGUUUAAAACUUUGUCCAAAAACCAAUUAGUACAAAUAUAUUUAAGUACUAUUCUGUUUAAUGUAUAUUCAACUAAUGUUGUGUUAAUUGAAAUUUCAUGUAGGAUUCUAUUACUGAAAUUUAGGAGGCAGUUGAUACAGUUCCAAGCCUUGUAUUUAUACCUUUUGUUUUGAUCUAAACUGUUGGUGAUUUGAAAAUCUUAAUUUCUGUGUGAAUUAUAGAGAUAGUCAUAUGUUUAGUUUUAUCAUCUAUUUUUGUAUAAUUAAGGUGAAUACUUUAAUUUAUAUCUUUUAUAUUUAAUUCAGUUAAAAAUAUCCAUUGAAAAUACAAUUCUAAUAGCUGAUAAGAGGGAAUGUCUAUCAUUAACUUGCUUAUUAGCACUGACUGGACAAGAGUGUUAUUUUUUAUUACCUCCUCUUUUCAAUUUCAAUAUGAAAUAUGACCAAGAAAUAAACAAAUGAAAGGAGUUCACAUUCUUUGCUGAAACCCUAAGGGUCUAGUGAAUACAUUUACAUUAAUGAUGGGUUUAAAAAGACAUAAAUCCAUGACAUUUUAAGAAAUACUGUUUCUGCGAAUAAUGUGCAUGUAAGAAUAGAAUUUUAUAAUUACUUUAGUCAUCAUACUUAAUUUUAAAUGUAAGAAAUUGUAUUAGAUAUGUGAUGUUAUGUUUUUCUUACUACUUAAAGUCAUUGAACAUACUAUCUCCACAAAACUCAAUGAGAAACUGUAGGUAAUAUGUUAAAUAGUAAGAACCCAACAAAUGUUAUCUUUUGUUACCAUGAUUGUGAUCAUUAUUAUCAUUUUCAUCAUUAAUUUACACCAUUGACAAGCAGCAGCAUAACAGGGUAAUGUAUGUUUUAUAUUAAGGGUCAAUGUUAAUUUUAAAAAUAUUAACUUUUUAAAAUCCUGAUUUCUAAAAGAUCCUAUGAACAAUAUCACAGACAAAUGCAGUUUUGAAUUUAUAGUUAUAUUGUACAUUAUAUUCACCAAAUUCUAAUAUUUUUCAUUAGUUAAAAUAAAUUCUUCUGUGUUCUCUUUUCCCCUUUCUUCCUGUGUAUCAACAAUUUUGUAAAACUUUUAAGGUUGAAGAAGUUCAGUAGCAAAUACAGCGAAGAAAACUGCCAGUUUCUUUCCAAAUAAACAUUUAUUUUUACAAAACCAUGUAUUUUGAUCACUUUCUGGUCUUGCAUGAUCACAAAAGAUUUUCUCUAAGAUUGUGACAAUUUUAUAUAAACAAAUAUGCAUUUCCUAUGGAUAGUAUGAUGGCAUUCAAAUUAUCUUGAUUUUCCUCAAUAAUCUAGCAUUGUUCAUCACACACACACACUCACAGACACAGACACACACACACACACUCUCUCUCUCUCUCUCUCAGACUCAUUUAGUAAAAAUAAAAACCCAGAAUAAUUAGUAUUUCAUGACACAGCUGUAAUUGCAAUGCCAUGAAACACAGAUAAGAUUUCUACAUCUCCUAAGAGAAAAACAUUUAGAAAAACUUUUUUAAAAACCUUAAAAAAAUUCAGAACUUUUGAUAAUCACAACCAAAAUGACCUCCCUGAAUUUCUUAAAAAAAAAAAAAUUGACAAGCUUUAUCCUCUAAACACAAACUGGGGAACAAUAUCCUUCUCUAGCUAACUUGAAACAAACAACAAUAAGCUUAUAAUACAACUUUCAGGGAGAGAAUGUCAUGGAAUAUCUAUAACUAAAUUUCAAUGAAAGAAUUAAGCUUCAAGAAGACUGGAAUGCCAGAUUCUGAUAUGAAAAGUAAAUGUAAUGAAAGCUACCUGAGACAAAGAAAUGAAAUUGCAUAUUGGUUAUCAACACUAAUCAUAUAAAUGCUCAUAUAAUGAUAGAGGCAUAAAAAUCAUGUAUAAGUCAAUGAUUUAAAAAUGGAAAUAAAUGCAAGAAUCUUAGGGAUACUGUAUUUAAUUUUAAUUUCCACAGAAAUUGAUUUAAAUUGAUUCUGACAAACAAAGUACCUUUUAGAAGUGAAUGAGGCUUGAGCCACAAAAAAGACUGAAUUGCAUUCAAGUAAAUCCAUUCAGGAACCAGUAUUUGAAGCUACUGUAAGCGCUAUAGCUUCUACACUUAGGUCCCCAGUUCCUUCAUUAUGUUGACAUGUAUGUUAGAAGGUAUUCUCAAUUACUCUCAAAUUAUCAGGAGAUCAAAGUGCUGGAGAUAGAAGAAACAAGUUUGUGAGAAACUUAAAAAUAACGAUGCCCUUCUGACCAAAAAAAAAAGUAUUUUUGAGGAUUUUGUUCUUCAUAUUUUUUCUUAUGAAUCUCUAAGGUCUCCAUUGAAAUUUAUAUCAUAUCAAAAGUGAAAAACAAAAUGGAAUAGCUAUUUUCCACCUCAUAACUUUCAUGAGUAAAACAUUCAUCUUGCUGAAGGGAAGAAAAGAUACUACCUUUGUAAUAAUUCUUAACUUUUUCUUUGUGAUACUUUACAUCAGAGAAGACAAUAGAUGGAUUGUAAUAAGAAAGAUGAAAAUGAAGCCUUCAAAUAUUUUGAUAGGUGAUAGGAAUAAUAAGAAUCAUCACACAGUUCUUGAUAAACAAAAAUGUAUAUUCAGUGCAGCUCUGAUAAAUUUUAGUUGAAAAGAGUCUCCCUUUGCUAAGUUUUCAAUUAUGUUCCAAGUGGAUGAAAACCAUAGAAAGCACUUAUAAUUUAUUUCUUAACCAUAGAUUUGUAUAUAAAGCAUGCUAGAAUAUAUUUGGAGCUGGAUAUUGAUAUGUAGUACACUACAUUGAAUAAGCUAAUAACUCUUUAAAUGAAAAAGAUAUUCCAUGAACCAAUUGAUUCAAAUCAUUUAAAUACAUUAUGCUGUGCCUGUCUUUUGGUAAUCAUACCAAUUAGAUUAGAGAACCAUUUAUCGGGGUGCCAAUUAAGUCAAUUCUAUACUUUCUGGAACUUAACAAAAAGGUCUAAAUUGGACUAACUAAAUAACUCCUAUGUUUCUAGACACGUUAGUUGACUUGAUCAUGUAGCAUGACAAUAAUUUCCUGUUAUGUGAACUAGGAUUAUAACUAGUGAAAGGCAUAGAUUAUUUGUUUAGUUUGUUUUCCAUUUGAAUUUGAAAGCUAAAAACUUUAACCAAGAAAUACAGGCUUGGGAUCAUUCAAUGUCGUUUAAAAACAUAUUUCAAUGAACAUUUCCUUUUGGUUGAUGCUUGAAUUUAAUUAAAAAUUAAUUCAUUUAAUGAUUCUUGGGUUGGUGGGCGUGUAAUUCUAGAUGAUUGAAAUUUUUUUCAGUGCCACAUUUUCAGAAGAUAUGGAAGAUUGAAUUAAUAAUUAACUGACAUUCAAUAACAGUGGAAACUUUAAAAACCUUAUAUAAUAAAACUGUUAAGAAGUUCUCAUUUUUAAAAAUUAUUAAAUCUAAAGAACUUUCUUUUUUUAUGGCAUUUUAGGUUUUGGGGUACAUGUGAAGAACAUGCAAGGUAGUUGCAUAGGUACACACCUGGCAGUGUGAUUUGCUGCCUUCCUCCCCUUCACCUAUAUCUGGCAUUUCUCCCCAUGCUAUCUCUCCCCAACUCCCCACCCCCUGCAGUUCCUCCCCUAUUCGCCCCAACAGACCCCAGUGUGUAGUGCUCCCCUCCCUGUGUCCAUGUGUUCUCAUUGUUAAACACGUGCCUAUGAGUGAGAACAUGCAGUAUUUCAUUUUCUGUUCUUGUGUCAGUUUGCUGAGAAUGAUGUUCUCCAGGUUCAUCCAUGUCCCUACAAAGGACACAAACUCAUCAUUUCUGAUUGCUGCAUAAUAUUCCAUGGUGUAUAUGUGCCACAUUUUCCCUGUCCAGUCUAUCAUCGAUGGGCAUUUGGGUUGAUUGCAGGUCUUUGCUAUCAUAAACAGUGCUGCAAUGAACAUUCAUGUGUAUGUGUCCUUAGAGUAGAAUGAUUUAUAGUCUGUUGGAUAUAUACCCAGUAAUGGGAUUGCUGGGUCAAAUGGAAUUUCUAUUUCUAGGUCCUGGAGGAAUUGCCACACUGUCUUCCACAAUGGUUGAACUAAUUUACAAUCCCACCAGCAGUGUAAAACUGUUCCUAUUUCUCCACAUCCUCUCCAGCAUCUGUUGUCUCCAGAUAUUUUAAUGAUCGCCAUUCUAACUGGCGUGAGAUGUUAUCUCAAUGUAGUUUUGAUUGCAUUUCUCUGAUGACCAGUGAUGAUGAGCAUUUUUUCAUUUGUUUGUUGACCUCAUGUAUGUCUUCUUUGUAAAGUAUCUGUUUAUAUACUUUGCCCACUUUUGAAUGGGCUUGUUUGCUUUGUUCUUGUAAAUCUGUUUUAGUCCUUUGUAAAUUCUGGAUAUCAGCCCUUUGCCAGAUGCGUAAACUGCAAAAUUUUUUUCCCAUUCUGUUGGUGGCCGAUUCACUUGAAUGAGUGUUUCUUUUGCCAUGCAGAAGCUGUGGAGAUUGAUUAGGUGUCAUUUGUCUCUUUUGGCUUUUGUUGCCAAUGCUUUUGGUGUUUUGGUCAUGAAGUCCUUGCCUACUCCUGUGUCCUGAAUGGUUUUGCCUAGAUUUUCUUCUAGGGUUUUUAUGGUGUUAGGUCUUAUGUUUAAGUCUUUAAUCCAUCUGGAGUUAUUUUAGUGUAAGGUGUCAGGAAGGGGUUCAGUAUCUGCUUUCUGCACAUAGCUAGCCAGUUUUCCCAACACCAUUUAUUAAACAGGGAAUCCUUUCUCCAUUGCUUGUUUUUGUCAGGUUUGUUAAAGGUCAGAUGGUUGUAGAUAUGUUGUGUUGCCUCCGAUGCCUUUGUUCUGUUCCAUUGGUCUAUAUCUCUGUUUUGGUACCAGUACCAUGCUGUUUUGAUUACUGUAGCCUUGUAGUAUAGUUUGAAGUCUGGUAGUGUGAUGCCUCCCACUAUGUUCUUUUUGCUUAGAAUUGACUUGGCUAUGCAGGCUCUCUUUUGGUUCCAUAUGAAGUUUAAGGUAGUUUUUUCCAGUUCUGUGAAGAAGGUCAUUGGUAGCUUGAUGGGGAUAGCAUUGAAUCUGUAAAUUACUUUGGGCAGUAUGGCCAUUUUCAGGAUAUUGAUUCUUCCUAACCAUGAACAUGGAAUAUUUCUCCAUCUGUUUGUGUCCUCUCUUAUUUCGUUGAGCAGUGGUUUGUAGUUCUCCUUGAAGAGGUCCUUUACGUUCCUUGUUAGUUGAAUUUCUAGGUAUUUUAUUCUCUUUGUAGCAAUUGUGAAUGGCAGUCAUUCUUGAUUUGGUUCUCUUUUAAGUCUGUUAUUGGUGUAUAGCAAUGCUUGUGAUUUUUGCACAUUGAUUUUGUAUCCUGAGACUUUGCUGAAGUUGCUUAUCAGUUUCAGGAGUUUUUGCCUGAGACAAUGGGGUCUUCUAGAUAUACUAUCAUGUCGUCUGCAAAUACAGGAAAUUUGGCUUCCUCCUUUCCUAUUUGAAUACCCUUUAUUUUUUUCUUGCCUGAUUGCUCUGGCUAGAAGUUCCAGUACCAUAUUGAAUAGGAGUGGUGAGAGAGGGCAUCCUUGUCUAGUGCCCGAUUUCAAAAGGAAUGCUUCCAGGUUUGCCCAUUCAGUAUGAUAUUGGCUGUUGGUUUGUCAUAAAUAGCUUUUAUUAUUUUGAGAUACGUUCCAUCAAUACCGAGUUUAUUGAGGGUUUUUAGCAUAAAGGGCUGUUGAAUUUAGUCAAAGACCUUCUCUGCAUCAAUUGAGAUAAUCAUGUGGUUUUUGUUUUUGGUUCUGUUUAUGUGGUGAAUUACAUUUAUAGACUUGCGUAUGUUGAACCAGUCUUGCAUCCCCAGGAUGAAUCCUACUUGAUCAUGGUGGAUAAGCUUUUUGGUGUGCUGUUGCAAUCGGCUUGCCAGUAUUUUAUUGAAGAUUUUUGCGUCUAUGUUCGUCAUGAAUAUUGGCCUGAAGUUUUCUUUUCUUGUUGAGUCUCUGCUGGGUUUUGGUAUCAGGAUGAUGUCAAUCUCAUAAAAUGAUUUGUGAAGGAUUCCCUCUUUUUGGGUUAUUUGUAAUAGUUUCAGAAGGAAUGGUAACAGUUCCACUUUGUGUGUCUGGUAGAAUUCGGCUGUGAACCCAUCUGGACCUGGGCGUUUUUUGGGUGGUAGGCUCUUAAUUGCUGCCUCAACUUCAGAUCUUGUUAUUGGUCUAUUCAUGGUUUUGACUUCUUUCUUGUUUAGGCUUUGGAGGACACAAGUGUCCAGGAAUUUAUCCAUUUCUUCCAGGUUUACUAGUUUAUGUGCAUAGAGUUGUUUGUAAUAUUCUCUGAUGAUGGUUUGAAUUUCUGUGGAAUCUGUGGUGAUUUCCCCUUUAUCAUUUUUUAUUGCAUCUAUUUGGUUGUUCUCUCUUUUUUUUUUAUUAAUCUGGCUAGUAGUCUAUUUUGUUGAUCUUUUUGAAAAACCAGCUCCUGGAUUUAUUGAUUUUUUGAAGGGUUUUUCGUGUCUCUAUCUCCUUCAGUUCUGCUCUGAUCUUAGUUAUUUCUUGUCUUCUGCUAGGUUUUGAGUUUUUGGAUCUUGCUCCUCUAGCUCUUUCAAUUUUGACAAUAGGGUAUCAAUUUUGGAUCUCUCCUUUCUUCUCAUGUGGGCACUUAUUGCUAUAUAUUUUCCUCUAGAGACUGCUUUAAAUGUGUGCCAGAGAUUCUGGUAUGUUGUGUCUUCAUUCUUAUUGGUUUUGAAAAACUUCUUUAUUUCUGCCUUCAUUUCAUUGUUUAUCCAGUCAACAUUCAAGAGCCAGUUGUUCAGUUUCUAUGAAGCUGUGCGGUUGUGACUUAGUUUCUGAAUUCUGAGUUCUAACUUGAUUGCACUGUGGUCUGAGAGACUGUUUGUUAUAAUUUCUUUUCUUUUGCAUUUGCUGAGGAGUGUUUACUUCCAAUUAUGUGGUCAAUUUUACAGUAGGAGUUAUGUGGAGCUGAGAAGAAUGUAUAUUCUGUGGAUUUGGGGUGGAGAGUUCUGUAAAUGUCUAUCAGGUUUGCUUGUUCCAGGUCUGAGUUCAAGUCCUGGAUAUCGUUGUUAAUUUUCUGUCUGGUUGAUCUGUCUAAUAUUGACAGUGGAGUGUUAAAGUCUCCCACUUUUAUUGUGUGGGAGUCUAAGUCUCUUUGUAAGUCAUUAAGAACUUGCCUUAUGUAUCUGGAUGCUCAUGUAUUGGGUCUGUAUAUAUUUAGGAUCAUUAGCUCUUCUUGUUGUAUCGAUCCUUUUACCAUUAUGUAAUGUCCUUCUUUGUCUCUUUUGAUCUUUGUUACUUUAAAAUCUAUUUUAUCAGAGACGAGAAUUGCAACUCCUGAUUUUUUUGUUUUCCAUUUUCUUGGUAAAUCUUCCUCCAUCCUUUUAUUUUGAGCCUUUGUGUAUUCUUGCAUGUGAGAUGGGUUUCCUGGAUACAGCACACCGAGUGGUUUUGGUUUUUUAUCCAAUUUGCCAGUCUGUGUCUUUUGAUUGGUGCAUUUAGCCCAUUUACAUUUAGGGUUAAUAUUGUUAUGUGUGAAUUUGAUACUUCCAUUUUGAUGCUAGCUGGCUGUUUUGCCCGUUAAUUGAUACAGAUUCUUCAUUUUGUUGACGCUCUUUACCAUUUGGUAUGUUUUUGGAGUGGCUGAUACUGGUUGUUCCUUUCUAUAUGUAGUGCCUCUUUCAGGAGCUCUUGUAAAGCAGGCCUGGUAGUGACAAAAUCUCUGAGUACUUGCUUGUUGGCAAAGGAUUUUAUUUAUCCUUCACUUAUGAAGCUUAGUUUGACUGGAUAUGAAAUUCUGGGUUCAAAGUUCUUUUCUUUAAGGAUGUUGAAUAUUGGCCCCUACUCUCUUCUGACUUGUAGGGUUUCUGCCGAGAGAUCUUCUGUGAGUCUGAUGGGCUUCCCUUUGUGGGUAACCCGACCUUUCUCUCUGGCUGCCCUUAGCAUUUUCUCCUUCAUUUCAACCCUGGUGAAUCUGAUGAUUAUGUGCCUUGGGGUUGCUCUUCUUGAGGAAUAUCUUUGUGGUGUUCUCUGUAUUUCCUGCAUUUGAAUAUUGGCCUGCCUUGCUAGGUUGGGGAAGUUUUCCUGGAUAAUAUCCUGAAGAGUAUUUUCCAGCUUGGAUUCAUUCUCUUCAUCACAUUCAGGUACACCCAUCAAAUGCAGAUUAGGUCUCUUCGCAUAGUCCCACAUUUCUUGGAGACUUUGUUCAUUCCUUUUUACUUUUUUCUCUAAUCUUUCCUUCUCAUUUUAUUUCAUAGAGUUGAUCUUCGACCUCUGAUAUCCUUUCUUCUGCUUGGUCAGUUUGGCUGUUGAAACUUGUGCAUGCUUUGUGAAGUUCUCGUAUAGUGUUUUCCAGCUCCAUCAAUUUACUCAUAUUCCUAAGUUGUCCAUUCUUCUUAUUAUUUGGUCAAAUCUUUUUUCAAGGUUCUUAGUUUCUUUGCAUUGAGUUAGAACAUGUUCUUUUAGUUCACGGAAGUUUCUCAUUACCCACCUUCUGAAGUCUGAUUCUGUCAAUUCAUCACACUCAUUCUCCAUCCAGCUUUGUUCCCUUGCUGAUAAGUAGUUGUGAUCCCUUGUAGGAGGAGAGGUGUUCUGGUUUUGGGUAUUUUCCUCCUUUUUGCACUGGUUUCUUCUUAUCUUUGUGGAUCUAUCCACCUGUCGUCUGUGUAGUUGCUGAUUUUCAGAUUGGGUCUCUGAAUGGAUGUCCAGUUUGUUGAUGAUCAAGUUAUUUCUGUUUCUUAGUUUUCCUUAUUAUAGUCUGGUUCCUCUGCAGUAGGAGUGCUAAGGUCCACUGUAGGCCCUGCUUGCCUGGGGAUCACCUGCAGCAGCUGCAGAACAGUAAGGGUUGUUACCAGUUUCUUCUUCUGCUAUCUUUGUCCGAUAAUGAUGCCCACCAAAUGUCGGUCUGAUCAGUCCUUUGUAAGGUGAUUCUUUGGAUAUAUGGGGGUCAGGAAGCUGCUUGAGGAGACAGUCUGUUUUUUAUAGGAGCUCGAGUGCUGAGCUGUUCAUUCAGAGCUGCUAGGCAGGUACGUUUAAGCUCCAUUGUUCAUUCAGAGCUGCUAGGCAGGUACGUUUAAGUCUGCUGCAGCAGAACUCAUAAAUCCCCUUUUUAUCACCAGGUGCUCUGUCCCAGGGAGUUAGGGCUUAAUUUAUGAGUAUCUCUUCUGCUGCUUUUUUUUUUCAGGGCUGCCCUGCCCAGCAAGGAGGCAGCCUAGUCACUGUCUGCCUGCAGAGGCUUUGCUGAGCUGCUGUGGGCUCCACCCUGCUGCUGUGUGAACUUCCCUGCAGUCCUGUUUAUAUGGGUGUGGUUAGAACUGCCUCAGCAAUGGUGGCCUGCCUCUGUAAUGGCGGACUCUCUCUGUUAUGGUGGGUUGUCUUGGCAACAGCAGGUUGCCUCGGCAAUGGCAGGCUGCCUCAACAAUGUGGACUACCUCUGUAGGGGUGGAGUGCCUCAGUUAUGGCAGACGCUUCUCCCCCACUGAGCUGGACUGUCCCUGGUUCAGCUGUGCUGUCUGUGAAAUGCUCCACCCUGAGCAUUUCCAACUGUUGUUUUUCUGUUUUUGUUUUUGUGGGGGUGGGACCUGCAACGUCUGAUCACCUGGCUCCCUGCCUCAGAACCUUUUUUUUUAAAGUUGAACGGUUGACUCUCUCCCAGGUGUUCCAGUUGCCUGCUGAAAGGGUGCCAGGACCUGUGUGAUUUCUCGUGCGGCGACCCACUGCGCCAUCUGAAACAGCGGCGUUGCCUGGGAAUCUCCUGGCCUGGCUCCCUGUUUCAGACCCCUGUUUAAUCAGAUGAAUGGGUGAAUCUCCCUUCUUGGAGCUCCAAUUGCCAGCUUAAAAGGGCAACCAGACCAGUGUAUUUUGUAUGGAGAGCUGCUGUGCUGGGGCACCAGCAAAACAGCCGUGCUGGCUGAAACAACCACGCUGGCAACCUGUGGAGCUCCUCCACCUGGGAACCUCCUGGUCUGUGUUCAAAAAGAUGUUUCUGGAAAUGCGGUGUCCCCUUACUCUCUGCACUUUGCCUGGGAGCUGCAAUCCUGAGCUGCUCCUAAAAGGCCAUCUUGGAUUUUCCUCCUUUUAUUUUUAAUGUUUUUUAGAGACAGGGUCACUCUCACUCUGUCACCAGGACUGGAGUGCAGUGGUACAAUCGAAAUAACUUUAUAAUGUGAUUUCUCUAACAUCUAUUAAAGAAUGGAAAUAUUACUUAAGUAUUUUAACCACUCUUUGAGGAGAAGGGUAUGAAAUUCUAUACAGUCACUCUGUGAGUGACUCUACUUAGUUGCACUGUACAUUAUUGAGCAGAACACCAAGAGGUGUUAGAGUAAACCUUAAAAAUCUCACCUCUUUAUUUAAUUUAAUAACUGACAUUUAGAAUAUUAUAAUUAUAUACUAAUAAAAAUAUGAGACAAGAUAUUUCUGAAACAGAGUAGUUUUGCUGAGAAAUCUCCAAGCCAUUUUUCUGUUGCCAGUAUCUGAAUAUACAAAUGUUUUUAACUAAGUCACAUGAACUGUUGCUGUUGAUCAAAGAAAUUCCAUCAGUUUUUUUAAGUGAAAGAUAUACUUAGAUAUUAAGUAGUCAGUUAAAUAAUUAUUUUAUACUCAAAUUAGCUCUUUUUAAAAUUAUGCAGUUCAACACUAUGAGUGUCAAUGUAGUGCUUUUUCUGAGAAUACAUAAUAUAUUGCAAAAUUAAAUUCAAAUAAUGUAAAGGAGUUCUUAUGCAUUUUACAGUGCAACAAAGUGAUAUUCACAGGUUGGGGAGAGGUUGAGAAGAAUUAAAAUCUUGAUUGAAUUUGAAGAUACAUAUAUGAUGAGCAGAUGUGAGAGACAACCUUUGAGGAAAUGAGUGGUGCACUAAUUGAAAACAAAUUUUGUAAAUCAAGUUGGAAGAGAUUAACAUAUAUAAUCAUAGCAGAUCAAAUAUCAGAAGAAACUAUAACACAAGAAGCAAAAUAAUCAAAUAAUUUCAGAUAUUGAAUUUAAGAUUUUAAUAAAUUCUAAAUGAUAUACACACAAAUUAGUUUGCUUGCAGAAGUCAAGGAAAGCCUAUUUUGCUUAAUUAUAGUCCUUGUAAGCAUUUCUCUCUACAUGUAUUUACUCAAACCCUUUAAAGUUAGUAUACUUAAUAUCUAUAAGGAGAGAGGACUCGUUAGUUUUUAAUCAAUUUAAAGCAGUUUAACAUAUACUUGAGGAUCUACUACGUUACAAAUGUUCUUCUCAGGACUUCAGGGAGUGUAAAUAUGAACAUGAAGCACUCCUUAUAGCAGCUUACAAUCUGAGAACUAAGGUAGAAGGAGUGUACGUAUGAAUGAAUUACAUGAUAGAAUAAGGUGAAUGCCAAAGUACAAAAUGGUGUAAAAGGGUUUACCAGAAACAACAAUCAUCUUAGAUGGUUAGGAGGGAUCACUAAAAAUAUUCAAAAGGAAGUAGACCUCUACACAUUUGCCCACCUUUUCAUAGCCAACAAUAGAGAAAAUAUGGAACAUGUUGAAGCAAGAGCUUAUGGCCAAGACGGGUUGAAGUGUAGUGAAAUGGUAAAGGGAAGUAGAAAAUGAGGCAAGAAGGAUAGAUUGGAGUUAAACUGGAGGGCUUUGAAUGUUGUGUUGAAAAUUAUUAGCCAAAUGAAGUGGCACUGCCUAUUCCAUCACAGAAUAGAUGACAAUAGACCAUUCUAUGAAAUGCAUAUUGAAGAAACAUUUAAAGAACAUGAGGUGGCCUUUAAAGAAUUUAAUCAUCAAACAUUUAUUGAAUACCUAUUAUGUGCCAGGAAUGCUUUGAUUGUGAAAUUUGUACUAUGAAUUAAGGCUACAGAAAUAAAAAGGAAAGUCCUAGUUCUUAAACAGUUCAAAAAGUGAGUGAGAAAGGACACUUCCAGAAGUGCUAUGUAAACAAUUUAGGAUAUUAUCAGAAAACAGGGGAUGUUUGGGUUAUAUAUUACCAUGUAAGAAGAAACCCAAAGCAGUGGUGUUAUGAGUUGGAGUGUAUCCCCACAAAUUCAUAUGCUGAAAUCUCUAUCCCAAGUACCUUAGAAUAUGGCUCUAUUUGGAAUGUUAAAAUACAUUAAAAUAAAGACAAGGCCUAAAGAAUCUCUUGAGAAGAUGAAACCAGUGAGGCCUCAUAAAUGACUUAAACCUCCCUUGAUUUGCAAACAUCAGUGAAACUUAAUUUGAGCUACUUCUUGUAAAUGUCUACAUUAAAGAAAAGCAGAACUUAAGCUCAACCAAUCAGAAGUAGCCACUAAAAUUAUAAUUGUAAAACUAGAGACUUUCCAAUGGGAUAGGCCUAAUAAGGCAAUUGUAUAAUUGUACUCAAUCAAAUAUUUUCUUUGCUUUCCCUCUGUAUUCAUCCUAUGAAAGCCUCCUUCUUGCAUUUCCUCGUUGGACUUCCUGAACCACUUCUGGUUUGGAGCUAGCCAACUCAUGAAUUGUUGCUUGCUCAAAUAAACUCUUUAAGGUUUUGUGCCUCCAUUUACUCUUUAUCAGGAGUAGGAUGUUUAAAGAUGUAAUUAAGUUAAAAUGAGGUUGUAUGGAUAGUCCUAAUCCAAUAUGACUGGCAUUCUUAUAAGAAGAAGAAAUUAAGUGCAGACACACACAGAGGAAAGACCAUGGGGAAGAUGUAAGAAGACAGCAAUCUUUAAGCCAAGAAGACAGGCCUUAGGGAAAAGGAACCCUUCUGACACUUUGAUUUCAGACUUCUAGCUUCCAGAGAAGUGAGCAAAUCAAGUUCUGUUUAAGUCACCCAGUGUUUGGCACUUUGUCACAUCAGCUCCAUGGCUCUUGGGUCUGUUCUUUAAAUUCUUGGUUCUGCUUCUGAAUUACGCUUCCUCUUCCAUAAUAUGUAACAUGUGUUUGAUGAGGUAGUUUUCUUAGUCUGCUUCCUGCUUACAUAAAUUUGGAGUCUGAACACCCCUUUUCAUGUUUUAAGGUCUCUGCUGUCAUAGUCCAAGCUGGCAUUGUUACUCCAUGAAUAAAUGUUUUUAAAAUAUUGAGUUUGCAUCAUUAUGUAAAAGUCAUAUCUAUACAACACCAGAUGAUGUGACUCAUCUGAACACUGGAGGGGUCUGCUUCUGAGAUGGCUCACUCACACAGCAGGCAAAGUGGUGCUCUGUCAGCUGGAAAGCACAGCGAUGACUCAGGAAUGGGAACUUCAGUUUCUUUCAAUGGGCUGGUCCAGUAGCUGAUUUUCAUGGGUGAUCAUUUUAAGAGGAGGAGAGAGAAAGAGAGCUAGCACCAGGUGGAUGCUCUGUCCCCCUUUAUUGCCUAGCCUUAGAUAUCACACAGUUUUGCUUCUGCCAUACUCUAUCAGUUGAAAAAGUUAAAAGAACCCACUCAGGUUUAAAGAGAAGCACAUAUACUUAACUUCUUGAGGGAGUAGGGGCAACGCUCUAGAAGAGAAUAUGGGUCCAGGUGUGUUAUGGCCAUUUUUGGAAACUCAUUUGGCUUUCCAGUGAUCUUUGAGUCUGAGUAUCUGUUCCAGAAUGAAUGUACAAAUCAAGAAAUGCUUCAGAGAAGAAAAUGUUUUAGCUUUAUUUUAUUUAGCUAUGUAAUAGAAUAUUAAUAAAUUAUUAAUGUCAUAUAUUUUGGGAGCAUUUUAGGCUUCAUUUCAUUUAAUGCUAACAAUAAUCCAAAAAGGUAUAUUUUAUUUUAUUUUAUAUAUAUAUAUUUUAUUUUAUUAUUCUUUAUGAUAGAUGAAGCAACUGAGGCUUAGAAAUGCUAUUUAAUUGGGUAUUUAAUUACUAAAGUUCAUAUUACUGUGGUAGUUCCUAGAGUAUGUUCAUAUGCUGAUGAAACUAAUCCUAUACAUACAUAUAUGUUUCAGGAAAGAUGGAUAACAUAGGAAUAAAGUUCUUGAUUUGGCAAAAAAAAGGGAUGACAUCUAGUGUAUCAUUGGAAAUUCUGGCCAUACCAACAGAGAAAGUUCAUCAGUUGUAACAGGUGAAAAAUGGAGUUCAUGGGCAUAAAGAUAAUUAGGUAGAAUUAGUAGUAAUAAAAUGAAGUAUUUUGUUUUAUGACAGCCAUCUAUAUCCUCAGUGAUACAGGAGGCAAGACUAUCAGCUGAGGCAUGGUUAUUGAAGUUUGACCAUGGAACCAUUAUGAACUAGUCAAGUUUGAAAGUGGAGAAUGGGGAUAGCAAGAGGAUGGUGGGGCUGUUCUAAGUACCUGCUUGAGGUCUGUGGUUGAAUUUAUCUGAGACCAGUCACUGAAGUCAGGUGUUUUUGUCUAGUGAUAGUGCACUGCUAGGUUUAGAUGCAAAGCAGGAAGAACAUUUACAUUUAACUAGUAGUGGAAUUUUUGAGACAAGCAUGAAGAAGAGUAAGAGAGGAAAAGACAUUUUGGAAAUGUGUAAAUAAAUAAUUUCUGCGAUUGGUCUCACAAUCUAAGGUAAAGUGGAAAGUUAAAUGUGACAAAUGACAAAACAGAAAAAAUGGAGGUCCUGGUGUAGAAAAAAAAUACUGGGAAUAAAGUGAACUCCAUAGUCACAACAAAGAGAUCAGUGAUUACUGUAGUGUCAGUACCUGACCCUUAUUCCUUCCUUUUGGCCCUCCUUCCAAACAUUUUUUGUCAUUGCUGCUGCUGCUGCUGUUGUUUUGGUCUGAGGAUUUUAUUUCCCUUUGCAAAUCAGAAGUAUGAGAGAAUUAACACCUUUCUGAAUAGACCAUGACCAAGAACUGCUGGCAGUUGUUAUAAAUACUCCAAAUCCCUCUCCCUCAGGCAUGAUAAAUCUGAGACUGUGUCGUUUACCAUUUUCCAAACCUCCCCAGUUGGAUUAGACUUUAGCGAGCCAGGUGGAAACUUGUUAACAAUGCACCCUUACCUGACUCUAUCCCUUUCCUGUCUUGCUUCCUCAUUCCCUAAUAAUGUUCCCUGUAAUCAUUUCUCAAAUAAACUAAUUCUAUUCAAUUUCUUAUUUCAAGGCCUGCUUUGUCAGGGGGCCCAACUAACAACUCCUACUUUGAGCCUAUAGAUCUGCUCCCAAAACAAUUACCAAAAUAUAUUUUGUGGUUUCUUACUUGUCCUUCUCUCCGCUGUUUUCCCAAGAAAGGAAAAGUAUGUCUCCACCUUUGUGGCUCCUUCUCCUAGUCCAGUUUCUGCUAUGUAAUAGGAACAACUUAGAUAUACAGAAAAUUAAACAGAAUACUCAAUUAAAAUGGAUGCUUUUGCUGACUAAGGAUUUGAAUAUCUUAGCUCAUGGAGGCAAAACUAGAUUGAGUUCAGUAUAACAUGAACAUUAUUUGUAACAUAUUCUUGGCAAUGUAAUUCUUUGAAAUUGAUAAUCCACAGUAGAAUCCAAGUCUAAAAUUUUGACUAGCCAAAAUAUAUCACCCUUUUUAGAUUGUUAAAUUUGAGGGAGUUGAGUAAUAUAAUAUGGUCUCUUCAGAUACAUAUUUAACAAAGCUAAGGAGUUGUGUGGUUAUACAUUUAUCAUUUUUCCCUAAGCUGUUUAUUCUAUAAAUUCUUUUAACAUCAGCAACACAGAAAUAACUAUAGGAAAAUUUUUGUUUUUUGCAUCAUAAGCACCUACCAUGGAAGAUGCUGAGUAAAUAUUCAUAGAAUAAAUAUUCUUGUGACAAAGAUUAUCAUUUUAAAAUGAAUUAUUGCUGGAACUAGAUUAAACUGAUUUUAAAAUUAGGAAAUAAAAGCACAGUAAUAAAGCUCUUUACAUCUUUUUUUUUAAAACUGUGAUUUGACUAUCACCGAUGUAACUGCUAUUUAUAUACCUGUUUGCUACUGCUAAUUACAAAGUUCAGUUACUCUGAUGGCUAAAUAUCACAAUCAUUGUGUAACUAACACAACCCAAAGCCAUACUCACUGUGAUACAGAUAUAUUUGUGACAAUGCUUAUUUGUAUUUGCAGAUCUCAACAACUGCUUAACUAUCUGCUUUCUAGCAAUUAGGCAGCUGCUAUUUAAAAUCAAUAGUGGUAAACUCUGGUUGUGUUUGGUUUGGAAACUAAGUGUUGUCUUGUGCAGCAUUCUGGUACUUUGCGGUGUAUUAAUGAAGCCACUUUGUUUCAUGCUGUUAUAUCACAGCUACUUGGCAUCCUUUCCUCCUCAGCUGACUCUUGCAUUACUUCAUCUAUUCUCCUUUCAUCCUUUGUCUCAUUCACAGGCUUUGCCUUUGAAUAGUUUUGAAUUUCCCUUGUCAAGAGUUAAUUUACACUUUUUAAAAUGUAUAGCUAUAAAGUCUGAUGUGGUUGAAAUAUGUUGGAGAAUUUAUUAACAAAAGCUGUGUGUGAACUGUUUAGGAGUUCCAUUUGAAUUUCCUAAACAGUUGGGGAAUUAGCUUCAUGGAGGACAAAGGUAUGUAUGGUAAAAACUGGCAGGCAAGUGGACAUUAAUUGACUGAAAAGAUAGCUGCAGCUAUAUUGGCUUCUGUACAAGUAAAACAAUCAGUUUUUAGUGAUGAAUUAUAUCCAACCAUGUGCUAAUAAUUGAAAUAUGUACAAAACACUCAUAUAUCAAAUCUCUAUGCAUUGCCUUUGUAAUUCUGUGGCUUAUACUUUAGUGCCAAAUUUUGCCUUGUUAUGGUGUUUGUGUAAGUUCUCUUAGUAUAGAAACAUGUUUUAGAAGUAUAGUAGAAAAAAUAGUUAAAAAAUAAAAUGAUAGAGUUAAACUAAAUGCUAUCAGAAUACUGCUCUACAGUUUUUAAAGACAUCGUGCUAUCUCAUACCAUCCUCCACCUUUGUGGCUCCUUCUCCUAGUACAGUUCCCACUAUAUAAUAAGAACAACUUAAAUAUACAAUGAAUUGAACAGAAUGCUCAAUUAAAAUGUAUACUUUUGCACAUAUUUUUUCUUAAAUGUACCCUUUUUGCACAUGGUAUUUUUUCUAAAAUUUACUUUCCUCCCCGCAAGCCACAUCUCCUGCCCACCCUAGAAAAUUCUACAUUUCUUUGAAGUCUCUGCACAAACCUCACCUGAAUCUCCCAGGCAAAGUGAGACAGUCCAUUCAUCCUCCUUAAUCUUAUUGUACUUGUCUAUGGAAGACAGGAUAAUACAUGCCAUGGAAUAAAUAACUAUGUGCUAAAGGCCUUAGUAGAAUGAUAAAUGCUCAAACUCAAAACUCCCUAAUUUUGUUAAAUAUAUAUCUAAAGAGACAAUAUUGUAUUUUCUCACCAAGUCUUACUAUUUUACAUAAUUAGGCUCACUAAAUAAAUAUUUCUAAAGGCACUGCUUUGCAGAUAUGUCUCAUGAAGUCUCCUAGAUCAUUUCACUUUAAUCCAGGAUUUAAUAAUACUAUGUUGCUCUAGAGCCUUUGGGCUGUAUCCUUUCAGAACACUUUGUAACUCUUUCUCUGUCACCUGAAGUCUCACUAUUUUUCUUCUGGAUCUUCCUCCCUUUCCCUAAGACUACCAUAAAGCUACCUUAAAAAUAGUCAAGAGCUGUAACAAGAGGCACACAACAAUUUCUUUUCUGCUAUUAACCCUGGAAGCAGUUGCAUGAAGGUAGUUUUAGUUGACUGUAUCUCAAAAUCACAGUCUUAAUGCGUAUCCCAGCAAAAUGUGUUGUUAUCUGCUGAGAGAAAACUUAAAAAAAAUACAGAACAUACAGACCCCUUGUAUAUAUUUGAUUGUGCGAAUGUUUAGUUUCCCUUUCUAAUUUAAGGAUACUAAAUAAAACAUUUAAGAACUUAAAGAAGAUAACAUUUCCUUGCUUCUUAUUGUGCAAAAAAUUCCAUUAUGGUGGCCAUUGAAAAAAUGAAUUAUACUGAGUCUUAGAGUUGCUUUGGGUUUAGAGAUUUUAACACUUGACAGAGAAUUCCAAUUUUUCACAUUUUUUUUUUAGGUUUGGGAUUUGUGCCUAUCUUGGAGCCAUCAUUACAGUAAUUGAAAAACAAUUGGCUCUUUAAACAUUCUUCUACUAUUGCUCAAACUAUAGAUCUAUAAAAUAUAUAGACUUGAGUUGUUUAAAAAUAAUGUACAUUAAGCAUUAGAAGUCAAUAAGCUUGAGCUGGACUAAGAGGCUUCCUGAAUGUAAAGGUUAAAAGCCUUCCACUAACAAUAUAAUGAUGGUUAAAAACAGAACACUUAAAUUUGGAGUUGAGCAUAGAAGUCAUUCAAUCAACUAGAAAAAUAUGGAAACAGGAAAGUAACUUUUAGGCAUUUCUUCACCAAAUCAUCUCUAUUGUCUAUGUGCAUCAAUAAUGACUCAAGUAUUUGAUUUAGAAAUGUGUCUAUUUUGUAAUGAACUGCUUCACAGUGAAAAAAAAAAAAGGUGAGGAAAGCUGAAACUAAUUUGCUAACACUUUAGUCUAUAGUCCAUCAGAAACUAAUUUGCUAACACCUUAGACUGUAGUCCAUCACAAAAGUUAUGAUAAACUUCAUAGACAAAACAAUGACUUUCAUGGAAGAUAAUCUGAAGCAUUCAGGAACUGGAGAGUUGGCUUUGGAUGAUUAGAGACUCAAAGAAGAAAGGCAGAAGUAUCAGUUUGAACGAAGGUGUGUUUAUUCAGCUUAUAUAAAGUUAUAGCCAGCCACCUAAUAGGUUUUAUUAAAUUUGAGUUUCCUGAAGUCUAAAAUACUCUCAUAGCAUAAAGCACUAACUUUAAGAGAGUGUGUGUGUGUGUGUGUGUGUGUGUGUGUGUGUGUAAAUCUGAUCAUAUUGAAAUGCAGGUGGAUGUUUGGCUCCUCUGUGUCUAUUUACUUAAGCUUGGCACCCACCACACAAAACAGCUUGCUGCUUAUUUCCAUCCAUAGCAGCAUCAGGUUUCUUUGAAGUCUAUGAGCCUGGCUACCAAGGUGAUUCUAGUUUUGGGAAGCAUCACAGAGUUGGAAAUAAGUUAAAUAUUGAGUUAGGGAUAGUUUGACAGAAAUAGGGAAUUGUCUGAUGAGUAGUACAACUUGCAGUGAUUAUUUCAAGGGCAAUUUAAGUUCUCUGAUUUAAGCCUUCAGCUGGCUGUUAAGGAUUAACAGAAUAGAUUUAUUUGUCCAUUCAUUCAUUUAUUCAACAUUUGCUUAAGGGAAUAGUUGUUGUAAUAGAGAGAUGGACAAGCUCCGGAGGCUGGAACCACGGGUGAGUGGAGGUAGGUGGGCGGUAAUGGCAGGGGAGGGGCGAUAACCAAACACUUUGUUGCACUGUUUUAUUUUCAUGUGUAUGACAAGGUAAGAGGCAGGCACUUUUUAAAAAGAUGUGGUCUUACAGGAUUAACAUGUGCACCAGAAAAUUAUGUGGGGUAGAGAAGGGAGUUUCUCAGGAGAAGGAAGAGCACUAUGAAGAUGUGGAAGCUUCCCACCACCUGGUGUAUCUAGGGGUAACUCAAACAGGUUACUAGGUUGAAGCAUGGGAGGUCACAGGAACAGGUAACAUUGGACAGCUAAGUGUAUGCACAUGUCACCCAAUAGCUUUAAUCACAGUGCAGUCCCUCCAAGUAGGAGUGCUGAGGAUUGCACUGAUACACAAGGCUCUUUCAGGAGUUAAUUUUACUUCACUUUCUGUUUCUUAAUGUGUUCGACCAUUAAAGGAGAAUGGCCGUGCCAAGUGGUCUGUAUAAAAAAUAAGCAAAGUCAUGGGGCCAGAGUGCCAUCUUUCUGAAUGAACCACAAAUGGACUGCUGUUGAUGGAAUACCACUGAAGACAGGAAGAAGAGGAACAGCCAGUAUGGAAGUAAGCACAAAAAUCAGGCAUUGACUUGGCUUCCGCCAUUGGUGAGACACCUAUUGGAUGAUUUCACACAGCUCCUGGACUGGCCACCAAAACUAUCCCCUCACUUCUCUCCAUGCUGAUGACCUCCUGCUCCCCUCAGCCACUGCUCAUUCCCUCUUCUCCUGGGCACCAACUUUUAGGUCACUUUUCCUCAUUCUUCCACACUGUCGUCACCCUCAGUAAUAUUCUUCCUCUUAUCUCUCCUGGAGUGGGAGCUGGAUUCUGGUAUAAACUGCGCUGAUUCCUUCAGGUUUCCCAGUUGAAUGUAUAAUGCCUGAUUAUUGAUUUUUUUCUUUUUGAGACGGAGUCUCUGUUGCUAGGCUGGAGUGCAGUGGCGCAAUCUUGGCUCACUGCAACCUCUGCCUCCCGGGUUCAAGUGAUUCUUUUGCCUCAGCCUCCUGAGUAUCUGGGACUACAGGCGUGUGCCACACCCAGAUAAUUGUAUUUUUAGUAGAGAUGGUGUUUCACCAUGUUAGCCAGGAUGGUCUCCAUCUCUUGACCUCGUGAUCUGCCCAGAUCAGCCUGCCCAAAGGUCUAGGAUUACAGGCAUGAGCCACUGUGCCUGGCAGACUGUUUUCUUUCAUUCUAUUUCAUGUUACUACCUUAGCAAUGCAAAUGCUUUUGCUUAACUAAGAGUUACUUAGCAGGAUGAGUAAUAUGCAAGAUAUUAUAUAGUUAUCCAGGUAAAUAAAAUACUUUUUCUUCUUAGGGUAAUAACGAGCCACUGAAGUAUUUUAAAAGACAGAAAAAGUCAACAAUGAUUUGCUUCCUAGAAAGUUCCCUUUGUCUAAAGUGGGAAGGAUAGAUGGUGGGAGUAGCUGACUAUAGAGGAGGACAUGUGGGGCAACUAUUGCUCAUGCCAGGGAGAGGGAGAACGGGAUUCUAAACCAAGUCAGUAGCAGAUAGGAUGGAGAGGAGGUUAUGCACUGAAGAGAUGUUAAGGAGACUUGGACACUACAUUGGGGAAAGAAGAAAAAAAAAAGCAACUAAGUCUCUUUUAGGCAUAACCAGCUGGGUGGAUAGCAGCGCUGUUGCCCAUAUGGAAUGCAGAAGUAACCUACUUGAGCAAAAUUCUUUUGAGUUCAGUUUUGGACAAAUUGAGCUUGUCUGAGUGAAGAUAUAUUUAUGGUAUGGUUCGUCAGAGGACCUGGACUAGAAGUAUAUAUUUGGACAGCAACUACAUUGUAUGGUAGUUGGUGCUCAGGGUGAGAAUGAGAAGAGGGAGGGAAAGCUUAUGGAUGGAACAGUGAGCCGGUGACAGAGCUUUUCGGCUCUCCAUUCUUACUUCCUCUACAGAAUUGCGAGAGUAAAUCAGCUUUCCUCACAGCCCUCAGUCUAGUCCAGUGGGAUUUAGGAAGGAAGACAUUUUAUUGAUCCAGUUUGAGAAAUUCUUGACAUCAAUAACUGUGAAUACUUGCCGGAUGGCUCAAAAUGAGAAAUGAGAUCAAAUAAAAUCUGGAGUAUCGCCUGAAUUCAAAUUUAUAGGUCUAGUGAUGUGGUCAAAUAUAUAUGGACAGUGUUGAGAUUGGAGCUUUCAUCAAAGCCGUUAUGUUUCUACUUGCUUUGCCUAUAAUUGCAUCCCCAUUUGCAGUAACAAAAUACCUAAAAGCAACCUCAAUGAAACACAUCCAGUAAAAACUACCAAAUAUAGAGAUAAUUAAAGCAGACUUAAGAAGUUGGAUAGAUACAACAUGCUUCAAGCAAAGGGGGUGCAUAUUUUUAAAUACCUUUUUAUUUUAAAUUAUUUUAUUAAUGCAAUUUUAUUCUAAAUAAAAGAUGAAAUAAUUUUUGAAAAACUGGAAAUUAGAAUUUCAAAUUUUAUAUGUUAAAAACAUGAGAGAGCUAGUUUUCAAAAAAUUAAAAUGCGGAGCAAGAUAUAAUAGACAUCAAAUAAGUUAUAAAACUAUAAUACUUAAGGGGACAUGAUACUAACAAAAUUAGAUAGAUCUCAAUGUACAUUACAAAAUAUAAGAAUUAGACCUAAUCUUCCAUGAGAACUACUGUGGUCAUAGAGGCAUCACAAACCAGUGAGCAAGACAAAGGUUAUUUAAUAACACCGUUUUGGUAAUCAGUUUGCUACUUAGAAAAUAAUGAAUUUAUAUAUUCAUCUCAUAUAUUAUACCAUAAUAAGAUUUGUGAUGCAAAUAUUCAAACAUGAUUUCAGGAAGAAAUAAAAAUAAUAGUUCAUUAAAUCAUAAGAUAAUGAGAUGUUUAUCAUUUUAAGUAUAUUACAAUAAAACUGGAUUUUUGGUACAUAAAGUUAGAACCUUGUUCAAUAAGCAUACAAAGUCAAAUGUAAUUAAGAAGGUCACAUUAGAUGAAGUAUCAAUAUUAUUAAUAGUAUCAAUAAAUAAAGACUUCAGAAAUCCAUCACAAAAGUCCUAUAAUUCCAAUAGAUAAGUGGCCAAGGGAUAUGAUCUGAUGUUUAAAGAAAGAGAACAUAUAAAUGGUUAAUAAUGGGAAAAUGAUAUAUAAAUUUUUAUUCUGUUAAAAUUAAGCAUAUAAAAUAAUACUACAUAAUAAUAAAUUUGUGGUCAAAUAUACAAUGAUAAAAAAUUAUUUCAGAAAUAAUUUGAGAUAAUUAUAAAUGUAUUUUUUGAGACAGGAUCUCACUCUGUUGCCCAGGCUAGAGUGUAGUGGCGUAAUCACAACUCACUGCGUCUUCAACCUCCAAGACUCAUGGCUUCUCCCACCUCAGCCUCCUAAGUAGCUGACACCACAGGUGUGUGCCACUAUGCGUGGCCAAUUUCUAAAAAGUCUUUGGUAGCAACAGAGCAUCCCUAUGUUGCCCUACCCAGGCUGGUCUUCAAAUCCUGGUCUUAAGUGAUCCUCCUGCCUUGCCAUCCUAAAGUACUGGGAUUAUAGGCAGGAGCAACAGUGCCCAGCUGAAAAUUUAAAUUUAAUUAUGCAAUUUGAUCUGGUAAUUCCAUGUCUGAAUAUCUAUUCUAAGAAAUUAAUUAUAAACUCUGAAAUAUGAACAAAAAGAUAAAAUAAGGACAAAUACUGAUGACAGAAUUAUUCUGAAUAAUCAAUAGUGAAACAACCUGUGAUAAUUAAUGUUGUGUGUCAACUUGAUUGGGUCAAGGGGUGCACAGAUAUUUGGUCAAACAAAUACCUGUUUCUGGAGGAGAUGAGCAUUUGAAUCAAUAGACUGAGGAAAGAAGAUCGCCCUUCCCAAUGCGAGUGGGAAGCAUCCAAUCUGUUGAAGGCUUGAAUAGAACAAAAAAGGCAGAGAAAAGGAGAAUUCACUCUCUCUCCCUGACUUGAUGGCCUAGGGCAUCCAUAUCUUCUUCCCUUGAGCAGAGACUUACACUAUCUGCUCCCCAGUAUUCAGACAUGGGACUUGGACUAGAACUUAUACAAUCAGCCCUCCUGGUUCUCAGACCUUUGGACUCAGAUUAGAAUCAUCUCACUGGCUUUCCUCAGUCACCAGCUUGCAGAGGUCAGAUCAUGGGACUCCUCAGUCUCCAAAAUCAAGUAAGCAAAUUCCUCAUGAGGAAUCUCUUUAUAAAUCUAUAUCUAUAUUUAUAUCUCUCUGUAUCUCUCUAUUAGUACUUUUUCUCUGGAGAACCCUAAUACAGAAUCUCUGUUUAUGUAGCUAGAAUCCUGACCAAGUAAUUAUAGUAUAUACAUUCAAUAGCUUUUAUAAAGCCAUUAAAUAUUAUAUGAGAUGCUAGCUCUUGGAAAAACAUAUAUCAUUUUCAUAAAUGAAAAGGAAGGGUUUAGAGUUAAAUAAUCAGUAUAAAAAGCAAAUAUAUAAAUAAAAAAAGAAGUGAGUUGAAACACUUGGAUUACUAUAAAGUGGCAAAGAGGUUAGUGAUAUUUUUAAACACAGUAUUUUUCUGGAUUUCUCUAAAUUUAAUUUUAAAAUUAAAAUAAUCACCUUAAUAAAAGGUUUACUAAUCAAAAAUAUUAAGUAAACACUAGAAUACCCAGGGGAUUCACAUCUAAGUACACAUGCAUGCCAUCUACUACCCAAAUAUACACAUUGAAAAAUAGAAAGCACUGGCUCACUUGACUGUUAAUGCUUCCACACGUUCUAGAGUACUUAAACUUCAUUUAAAUACAGCCACUUAAGCAGAAUGGGGGAAUAUUUAACACCAUAAUGCCAAUAAAUCACUUCUCUUGGCAUAAAGUGACUCCUAGGCAAGAAAUGUCCAAAAAGGGACUGGGAUGACUUGCUAUAUGCAUUUCUUACUAGAAUAUAUCCCAGUUUACUCCUGGUAAUGAACAGUGGUAAUAUCCUCACCCACUAACUCUCAUACUCACAUGCACACAUACUUUUUUCUAUCAGAGAAGCAAAGAGUAUUGAUACAGGAGAUAGAAUUUAGGCAGAUAGGGCAAGAGUACUCGGCUGAAUUUCCCUUUUUAACAAAAGCAGCCCCCAAAUCAUUUCUUUUCUAACAAGGAGCAGCCUGAAAAAUCGAGCUGCAGACAAAGAUAAGCAAGCUGGAAGCUUGCAUGGGUGAAAGCUAGCAGCUGUGUCAAUAGAAAAGGUCUACCUGGGGGCCAGGUAGGUUCAACUUGAAGGCUCCAUCUUCCCUUUUCUUUGUUACCAUGUGUACAGUAAAGAAACAGGCAAUAUGGCGCUGGCCAGGUAGAAAAUCCAGCUGCAUAAUAAAAGAUCAGAGUGGGGAUGGCCAGCUUUUUAUGUUCUAUGCAAAUGACACACCUAACCCUAACUAGUUUUUUGUGCCCUAUGUAAAUAGCACACCUGGUCCAACCAAUCUUUGUGCCGUAUGUAAAUCAGACACCGCCUCCUCAAGCUCAUCUGUAAACCCGAGCUGCAUUUCACCAGGAAGAGAGCUCUUCUGUUUCUUUGCCUAUUAAACUCUGAACCUCACUCUUUGUGUGUCCAUGUCCUAGUUUUCCAUGGCUAUGAGACAGCAAACCUCAGUUAUCACCCUAGACAAAUGACGCUGCUUCAAUAUCGUGAAGAAAAAUGUUAAAGUAAAAAUUUGAAGAUAAAAAUUAAGGUGAAAAAAACUCUGGCCUGGAAAGAUCAAUACUUAAUAUUCAGUCAUGAAAUUUGUAUAACAAAAUUAAUGUUCACCUUUCCAGGAAAUGUCAAUAAUUUGUUUUUCUUGCAUAUUUAUUACAAGUGCUCUCGGAUGACUAGAAUUGAUUUCUUUUCACAAACAUAUAAUACAGGAAGAUUAUUUUAAGAUACUGAUAUGCAGUUAAGUUUAUGAUAAUGAAUGUAGGUCUGUAUUAAGUUUUACAUAAAAACCAUAGAUAAUUACAUACUGCAGAUUACAAAUGUGUUAGCCAUUGCAGCCUUGCUACACUUUGGUAGCUACUUAAAAUUUUUCUUUAGUAUUUAAUGCCAGCCUCAGGGUUCUGCUAUGCCAGAAUCCUAUUGUCCUCAUUGACUCUGGGGAGUCCAAUUCCAGAGCAGUGUCCUCUUCAUCGACUCUGACUUAGAAAGGACACAGUAUUGGUGCUAUCCUCACUAGCUCGUUCCAUAUUGAUUUACUAAAUGGAGAGUCCUCUGGGCUCUCACUGAGAAAAUAGGUCAGAUAGUGAAUAAAUUCAUUCUAGCAUGCCUACCUCUCUAAGCAUUUUGAAUCCUUCCACAGUGUUCUGCCAAGGCAUUUCAGCAUAUCCAUCCAUUUAUUAGAGGCCAGCAUUUCUUUCCAAGCUUCAGGGAGCCAUUUUAGAAGGAAAUUAGAAUAAGCUCCAGCUGUCCUUGUCAGUAUGUUGCAUACUGUACUGUUAGAUUGUUUCUCAUAUUUACAAACUCUCCCUAGUAUAGCUUCAUAUUCUGCAUGCCACUCAACACCCUCCCUUUAUUCAUUUAGUGCCCUCAAAACCCAUUCUUGGGGUCCUGUCAGUACAUAUUUGUAAGAACUAUAGUUUUUUUGAGGGAGUGAGGAAUGGAAGAAUUCCUUUCUUCUUAGAGGAGGUAAUUUACUAAACUUUAUACCAGCGAUUAGUCUACAAAUGAUGAGGGGAAGUGGAGGGAAAUCUUGGAAAAUUCAGUUAUCAACUUGGGAAGCAUCCAUUGCAGCAGAGGCCACUGCAAGGUCUCCAGGCAAGAGAAGCAAGCCUCUUCUGCAGCCUUGAAGGACUCAAGGGAAUGGGGGGAUUAAGCAUUCUCAAGUAUAUACACUCAGAUAUUCCCCUCCCAGGUAGCCAGAGCACAUUCUUUUUGUACGUAGGCCCUUUAUUUAGCAUAGGAGACAUGUCAGUACUAGGAGUCAUGCCUUCUCUGUAAUUCAGCUACUCUCACAACUAGGUGCUGCGUCUAGUUUUUGUCCUGGUCUGCCUUCCAGUUGCAGGAGAUGAAGGAAUCUUUAAAUACUAUCAAAGAUUCCCUUUGGCCUCCCCUCUGGGAAAAGAUAUCUGUUUUUUGAUUUGAGACUGUCAAUAUUUCAAUUUAGCUUAUUAAUCAAAUUUUAAAACAACUAAAGAAUUCCACAGUCUUUAAUGACCAUUGCCACCAUAUCUCUUAAAUCAGUGAUACUGCAUCCUCUUCCAUAGAUACUCCAUUUCAUUUCACCCCUGGUGAAAAGGGUAUUCAUGGUUAUGCUAUAGAAUGUCAAAGGUUAUCAUUAUCCUGACUGCUACCAGUAAGGCAGUCUUUUGCUACCUGGCCAGCCCGAGACCCAACCCUAGGGUCCCCUCUGAGGAUCUGUUUGCUAGAACCAUUUCUAACUCCCUUUAUUAGCUUACCCUAAGGGAAUCAGAUCCUGAGAAAAGAAUGAUACAUGCUUUAUUUAUUUUGGAGUUGCAGGAGAAACAAGCAGAGGAGUGUGAAGAUGAUCCAGGAAGGGAAAAGCAGGCUGUCAAGUUGUUCUGAAGCACAUUCCCCAGGUCAGCUCUGAGGAACGGUGAAAAGACAUGCCUCAGGAUUAUUCUUGCCAAGAUGAAGGACCUGGGGUAUUAAACCCACUGGCAAAGGCUCUCAGGGACAUGCUAGCUCCCAGACAUUUCUGGUUCAGCUGUGCAUUGGCAAAGAAGGUUCUGGAAAAAGAGGGCAGCCUUCCAAUACAGAUGUAUUUUUCACUAUCUUUCAAAAUCAUUUUUUGUAGAUACGAUUUCUGAGUUUAAUAUUUAAAUCUUGUUUUACAUAGAGCUUAUAGUUCAAGAAACUGAGCUCUUCUUUUUUUUUUUUUAGGCAGCAUAUUGCUCUGUCACCCAGGCUGGAGUACAGUGAUGCAAUCUUGGCUCACUGCAACCUCUGCCUCCCGGGUUCAAGAGAUUCUCCUACCUCAGUCUCCCAAGUAGCUGAGAUUACAGGCAUGUGCCACCAUACCUGGCUAAUUUUUUGUAUUUUUAGUAGAGAGACCUGGUUUCGUUAUGUUGGCUAGGCUGAUCUCAAACUCCUGAGCAGUAUAGGUGGGGAGUCAGGCUGCCACUCACAGAAGAGAUAAGGGACUCAAAGGGAAAUGGGCUGGGAACUGACUAUGAUAAAUAUCAGUUUGAUAUAUUUUGUACUUCUUGUUGAAAUAAUAAUGAGUUAAACAUAGUCUUAAAUUGCUGGGUAAAAUAUCUAUUUUUGUAAAUAAAGAAACCAGAUAAUUCUGUUAAGCUACUUCAAAUAUCAGUAACAAAACAUAGUAAUCACUCCACAUCUUAAAUAUAGCAAUCAGAAAGACAAUUUUUUUUUAAAGUGGCAAAACACUCACAGAGCAGAAUUGUUGCAAGAAAUCAUUUACUCAAAGAUUAUGUAGUAAAUGCCUCUCCAAGGGUGAAGAUAUACAGGUGUGCAAAGGCAAUCUCUACUAUCAGGUACAUAAUAUGUGAUCAAUUAGUGCAAAUUCAUUAUUACUGAUUUAAGUAAAGUAGUUAACAUUAAGCUAUUUUAAAGAAAUUUGUUCAGAUUACUGAUUAUUCUCAUGAAUUAGUACUUAACAGUUAACAAACCAGUAAUAAUACUUAAAUGCAACAACCAGGCAGACUAUUGCUUGGAAAUUCACUGAUAAUUGAUCCACAUUUUGGAAUAUCACAUCACUGAGAGCAGUGCUGCUAGUGGUAUUUAAAAUCACAGAGAACACUUGAAUUUUUUAUUUCAAUUAUUUAAUAAAGUUUUUACUGAGCACAAACCAUGUUUCAGGCAUAGCUCCAGGUACAAAGGAAAUAGCAGUGAACUAAGUAGAAUAAAUUCAUGCCUUUCUGAAGUUUACAUAACCUUCACUUACAGCUACAAAUUCAUUAUAAUUACACCUAGGGAUUUAAGUAUCUGAUUAUUUCAUUAUGUCUUCUAGUGCUGUUAUAUAGAGUAGUUGUACAGAGACAUAAUAAUUUUAUUAGAUAUUUUCUUUACUCCUCCUUUAUACUACAUUUAGGGUGUCGUAGUUUUUAAUUAUCUGUGUAUGUAUUAUGUUUAUAUUUAAUUUCAGGGUAAUAGAGGGAGCAUUCCACUUUAUUAUCAAAGUAAGUAUUACAUCUGAUGGAAUUGAUAGCAACUUCAUAAAAAUACACAUAUUAUUAAAGUCAAGAAAGUGAUAAAGUCCUUAGGACACAUUAUUUGGAUGGCAGGCUGAAGGUUCUACAGUAAAUGUCCUGGUAUAUUCCAAAAGAUGUAAUAUCAACUUAAAUAUAAAUUACUUCUAAAGUCAUUUUGUCACCAAAGAGAAAAAUAUUGUAUAAACAUCUAUGAAGUUUCUCACUAGAAAAUACUUUUCGCUGUUGUUGUUGUUGUACUUCUGAAGUAAUAACUCGAUAGAGCGGGGAAAGUAUCCAAUGCUUCAUUGCCAAUUUGCCCACUCCCGAGAUAGUCUGACAAUUCCUAAGUCUCUUUCAAUGACCCAGUUCCCUCACAUAGGCCGGGAUCUCCACAUUCAUUUCUCAAGGGGAGGUUUUCAUUUGCAUAUUCUGCAGAUAUCUCAAAUCUCAAAUGAAACUCAUUUUCAAUUCCUUUACCCAAAUUUACUCUCUAUCUUUUCUCUCUCUGUGAAUGGCACGAGGACACUCACCUAGUUGAAUAGUAAAAGAGUGAAGAAUCAACCCUGAAUGCCUUCUUCUCACUUGUAUCCAAUCCAACUAUUUCCUGAACCGCUGUGAAAUUCUCAUUACCCUAUUUAUACUACUCCAUUUUAGAGAAGCAUCAUUCCUAGCCUAGAUGGCCAAAAAAGCUUCAUAAGUUGUCUCCUUGCUUCGAUACCAUUUCUUGUUGCCUAUUUCUAAUCCACUUUCCUCUUUGUAGUAUCCAGAGUAAUCAUUCCAGAAAGAAAAUCUGAUUAUGUCAUAUACAUGGUAACUAUCUUUUCAGUGGCAUCACAUUACCUCUGGAUUAGAGUUGAAACUCUGAAACAGGAUCAGAUUUAAUUCUCCAGUUUAUAUUUUCUUCAUUUUUCCGUUCUCUACUCAUAAACUCCUUUUGAUCAUUCAGGCUUCCUUGGAGGUGUCAAUUCCAUCAUGCAAUCUUUGAUGACCUACCCAGGUCUAGGAUUGAUAGGUUUCCUACAUGCUCCCAAAGCAUCCUGUCUUACUGUCUUGACAGGGCUUAUCACAAUAUAUAGCAAUUAACACUUGGUCUCUCACCUGUCUUAUGGGCAUAGAGGUGCCCAAAUAUAUUAGUCAAAUUUGUACAUAAAAGAGCUAUCAUUAAAUAGUAAGGUAUAUUCAGUUAUAAUAUUUUUGAAAUAUAUAAACAGGUGUUCGUAGUUAUAAGACUAUUUUUUGAGCAGUUUUUUUUCUAUAGAAAAAUUGAGCAUAAAGUUCAGAAGAUUUUCAUAUGUACUUGCCUACCCCAGUUUCCUCUAUUAUUAAUAUCUUGCAUUAGUGUAAUACAUUUGUUACAAUUGAUGAACCAAUACUGAUACAUAGUUAGCUAAAGUUCAUUGUUUAUAAUACACUCAGUUUUCUGUUUUUUCUUUGUUUCUGGUACUUCAGAAUAAAUCAGAAAAUGACAUUAUAUAUUUUAUAAAUGUAAAUGAAAUUUUUGAAUAUUUGAGCCAGAAUAUGGGCAGACAGUGGUGAUAUUUGUCUAAUAUACUUAAUUCAGUAAACAAAUAUUUCUAAGUGCCACAGAUAUGUGAAGGAUAGCACUAGGUUCUGAGGAUUAAAAGCAGAAUAAAACAAAGCCUGUGCCCUUACUGAGCUCCAAGAAGAAGAGAAGAUGAAUAAAUAACCUAAUAAUUUAGGGGGCAAGAUGAUAGGUCCUGUGAUGGGAUAUCUACAGAGUGCUACAUCCAUGAAGGAGAGGGUUUUUUAAAUCAGACUGCAUAGAGCAGGUGACUAAGAAAAGUUUUUCCAGGGGAUCUUUAAACUGAAUGUUGAAGUUCGAGUAGAAUGUAGCAGGUAAAAGGGAAGCAAAAGCAUUUCAGUCUGAGUAACAGCAGUGUGAGUGUUGGAAGCCUAAAACGGUAGAACAUAGCUAAAGAGAAGGAGAACAGAAGUUACAAAGCAAGGAGAGAGAGGCAUAAAUUGUUUGAGGAAGGGCCUGCAUUUCUAAGCUAAGAUUUUGACUUUUAGUUUCAAAAAUAUAAAGUCAGAUCAUUGGUUUCAUUUUAUUAAAAAGAUCAUUCUCUACUGCUAGAGGAAAGUAAGUUUAAAAACAUGAGUUCAUGUAAUAUAUGUGCAUAUAUUUAUGUUCAAAAUUUUAAGAUAAUCACUUACAUUUUAAGAUAAAUCGCUGAUAGUAUAAACAUAGGUAUAUUACUCUCAAAUCACUAGAAAUAAAAACUAAAAAACUUUGAAUACUAUAGCAAAGUCAGUGAACUUGCAUUGGGGGGAUAGUGUGAAAACUUAAGAGCAUAAUAUAUAAAGUAGAGGAACAGAAGCAAGCCCAGCUGAAAAAGAAGUGUUAAACGCUACUACUUGGAAACUUGGGAUUCAGAUUGCAAAACAAAAAACAACUAAAAUAUAUGAAGACUGAUAGCUAAAUAAUAUAAACAAAGUGAAAAAUAAUGUGAUAUAAAGAAAAUUAUAAAUAAGAGCAUUAGUGGCAAUAUCAUAUUGCACAAAUAUCAUUUAUAAUCAUAUUAAUUUUUUGUUUAGCAUGUUGUCAGGUAUUAUAUGAGGAUAAAAGGUGAAGAUUUAACCAUCAAAAGCCAUCUAUGAGACAAAUAAUAUAUCUCUGAACUAUAUUAAAUAUUCAAAAUAAAAAAUAAAUGGGAAAAAUAAUUAUGUUUGAAACUUUCUGAAGAUAAAAUAAUCAAAUGAAAAAAGUUGAGAAAUUAAAUAAUAUAAUUAAUGUUUUAGU